rnacentral:rRNA from 1 species
CCCUUAGAUGUUCUGGGCAGCACGCGCGCUACAAUGGUCUUCGCAAACGGAUGCAUUCUCGAAGGAGAAUGCCAAUCUUGGAAUCUAUGCCUUGGUCGGGACAGUUGCUUGCAAUUUUUCGACUCGAACCAGGAAUUCCUUGUAAUCGUGAUUCAUCACAUCACGAUGAAUACGUCCCUGCCCUUUGUACACACCGCCCGUCGCUCCUACCGAUCGAAGAGUUAGGUGAAUUGUUUUGAUCGAUAAGAUUUGACUAUGGUCAACUCUCGUUGUGAAAUUCUGUGAAUCUGACUGUUUAGAGGAAGGAACAGUCGUAACA